GACGAACGCUGGCGGCGUGCCUAACACAUGCAAGUCGAGCGAAGCACUCUACCUGAUUUCUUCGGGAUGAAGGUUUAGUGACUGAGCGGCGGACGGGUGAGUAACGCGUGGGUAACCUGCCUCAUACAGGGGGAUAACAGUUAGAAAUGACUGCUAAUACCGCAUAAGACCACAGCACCGCAUGGUGCAGGGGUAAAAACUCCGAUGGUAUGAGAUGGACCCGCGUCUGAUUAGCUAGUUGGUGGGGUAACGGCCUACCAAGGCAACGAUCAGUAGCCGACCUGAGAGGGUGACCGGCCACAUUGGGACUGAGACACGGCCCAA
rnacentral:rRNA from 1 species